rnacentral:rRNA from 1 species
AGUUGCGAACGGGUGAGUAACGCGUAGGUAACCUGCCUGGUAGCGGGGGAUAACUAUUGGAAACGAUAGCUAAUACCGCAUAAUAUUAAUUAUUGCAUGAUAAUUGAUUGAAAGAUGCAACUGCAUCACUACCAGAUGGACCUGCGUUGUAUUAGCUAGUAGGUGAGGUAACGGCUCACCUAGGCGACGAUACAUAGCCGACCUGAGAGGGUGAUCGGCCACACUGGGACUGAGACACGGCCCAGACUCCUACGGGAGGCAGCAGUAGGGAAUCUUCGGCAAUGGACGAAAGUCUGACCGAGCAACGCCGCGUGAGUGAAGAAGGUUUUCGGAUCGUAAAGCUCUGUUGUAAGAGAAGAACGGGUGUGAGAGUGGAAAGUUCACACUGUGACGGUAUCUUACCAGAAAGGGACGGCUAACUACGUGCCAGCAGCCGCGGUAAUACGUAGGUCCCGAGCGUUGUCCGGAUUUAUUGGGCGUAAAGCGAGCGCAGGCGGUUAGAUAAGUCUGAAGUUAAAGGCUGUGGCUUAACCAUAGUACGCUUUGGAAACUGUUUAACUUGAGUGCAGAAGGGGAGAGUGGAAUUCCAUGUGUAGCGGUGAAAUGCGUAGAUAUAUGGAGGAACACCGGUGGCGAAAGCG